UACGCUUCUCGCCUUUUGACAAAGAUCAACAUUGAUUUUUGUAUAGUAUCUGUUCACUUAUCAUUUAAUAUCGAUACGUCCCCUAUCUGGGACCAAUUAUUAAAUGGAUUUUUGAACAGGGGAGAUGGGAAGAAGAGCUUGCUCUGGUCCACUCCACGCAUCGACCUGGUAUUGCCAUACCUCCAGGACCGGCUGCACCCUCC
rnacentral:snRNA from 1 species